rnacentral:ncRNA from 1 species
AAAAAGAAGAAAUUUAUUAACCUUUAAUAAUUCGAUAGCGGUAAGAGGAGUUUUAUGCCAAGUAGUGAAAUGUGAAGGUAGAAAAGAGGAGACCAACAACGAAGGCAUCUUACUGGGUCGACCCUGACAAUUAGAUACGAAAGUUAAGGGAGCUAACUGGAUGAGAUACCCCUGCAGUCUCCACUGUAAACAAUAGAUACUCAGUACUGGGUCGAUCCU